rnacentral:rRNA from 1 species
UUAUAUGAGAGGUUGAUCCUGGCUCAGGAUGAACGCCGGCGGUGUGCCUAAUACAUGCAAGUCGUACGCACUGGCCCAACUGAUUGAUGGUGCUUGCACCUGAUUGACGAUGGAUCACCAGUGAGUGGCGGACGGGUGAGUAACACGUAGGUAAACUGCCCCGGAGCGGGGGCGAAAAUUAGGAAACAGAUGCACAUACCGCAUAAACAAAAAAGCCAACGGGCUUUUGGUUGAAAGAUCGCUUUGGCUAACCAUCGUGGCUGGCUCAUCGGUUCAUUCUGUUGGUGGUAA